AGAGUUUGAUCCUGGCUCAGGACGAACGCUGGCGGCGUGCCUAACACAUGCAAGUCGAACGGAACUGUUUUGAAAGAUUUCUUCGGAAUGAAUUUGAUUUAGUUUAGUGGCGGACGGGUGAGUAACGCGUGAGUAACCUGCCUUCAAGAGGGGGAUAACAUUCUGAAAAGAAUGCUAAUACCGCAUGACAUAUCGGAACCACAUGAUUUUGAUAUCAAAGAUUUUAUCGCUUGAAGAUGGACUCGCGUCCGAUUAGUUAGUUGGUGAGGUAACGGCUCACCAAGACCGCGAUCGGUAGCCGGACUGAGAGGUUGAACGGCCACAUUGGGACUGAGACACGGCCCAGACUCCUACGGGAGGCAGCAGUGGGGGAUAUUGCGCAAUGGGGGCAACCCUGACGCAGCAACGCCGCGUGAAGGAUGAAGGUUUUCGGAUUGUAAACUUCUUUUAUUAAGGACGAAACUUGACGGUACUUAAUGAAUAAGCUCCGGCUAACUACGUGCCAGCAGCCGCGGUAAUACGUAGGGAGCAAGCGUUGUCCGGAUUUACUGGGUGUAAAGGGUGCGUAGGCGGCUUUGCAAGUCAGAUGUGAAAUCUAUGGGCUCAACCCAUAAACUGCAUUUGAAACUGUAGAGCUUGAGUGAAGUAGAGGCAGGCGGAAUUCCCCGUGUAGCGGUGAAAUGCGUAGAGAUGGGGAGGAACACCAGUGGCGAAGGCGGCCUGCUGGGCUUUAACUGACGCUGAGGCACGAAAGCGUGGGUAGCAAACAGGAUUAGAUACCCUGGUAGUCCACGCUGUAAACGAUGAUUACUAGGUGUGGGGGGUCUGACCCCUUCCGUGCCGGAGUUAACACAAUAAGUAAUCCACCUGGGGAGUACGG
rnacentral:rRNA from 1 species